AGGCCACGAAAACGGGUGGGCUAUAGCCUUGGGGGGUGGGGCUGGCCAACUUCGUCCGCCUGACUCAGAAUGGCGCGAGACUUUGCGAGGCGCCUCCGUGUGCCAAAAAUAGGCCACGGGCAAAGCGGAGCCCAAAAAUAACCACCCGAACGCCGGGGCGCCAAGUUCGUCCAGCGGUAAAAGGCCACAAAAACGGGUGGGCUAUAGCCUUGGGGGGUGGGGCUGGCCAACUUCGUCCGCCGGACUCGGAAUGCCCCGAGAAUUUGCGAGGAGCCUCCGUGUGCCAAAAAUAGGUCGCGGGCAAAGCCGCGCCCAAGAAUAACCGCCCGAAGGCCGGGGCGCCAUGUUCG
rnacentral:lncRNA from 1 species